UUUUCCUACGGGACGCAGCAGUGAGGAAUAUUGGUCAAUGGGCGGGAGCCUGAACCAGCCAAGUCGCGUGAGGGAAGACGGUCCUAUGGAUUGUAAACCUCUUUAGGCGGGGAGCAAUGCCGGGCACGCGUGUCCGGAGGGAGAGUACCCGCAGAAUAAGCAUCGGCUAACUCCGUGCCAGCAGCCGCGGUAAUACGGAGGAUGCGAGCGUUAUCCGGAUUUAUUGGGUUUAAAGGGUGCGUAGGCGGAUUUUUAAGUCAUCGGUAAAAUGUCCGGGCUUAACCCGGGCCGGCCUUUGUA
rnacentral:rRNA from 1 species